CUCAAAGAAGGGAGAUUUUAACUCCCACCCCUGGCUCCCAAAGCCAGCAUUCUGAAUUUAACUAUUCUUUG
rnacentral:tRNA from 1 species